UAACUUUAACAUUUGUUUUCAUGUUUCACCAUGAAAACAUGCUCAUGAAUUUCAUAUUAUAUGAAAUUAAGUGGUUUUUUAGAUCUUAUAACUAAGUAUCAGAAACAAGGGCACAAAUUCUGUAUUCUAGACUUCAACACACUGGAGUUCACCAGACUACUAAUGUUUCUAUGUGAGCAUGUUUCAGAGAGAACAACAAAAGUACAUAGUAAUAUAUGUAGUUUCUACAAUUACUACGUAAAUACUCACUCAUUAAAAUACAGAAAAAAAACAAACAAAGCAGUGUUAUACUGGAAUGCAAGAUGAGUGAACAAUUUUGCAGAAAGGAUGCCUGACUGAAAAGCAUGAGCCACAUGCUUGCCCUCUGCAAGAGACCUCAGAAUACUCAUGAAAGGAAUUCCAAGGCAUGAAAUAGUUUGAAAGACUUCAAAAAUGUGGACCUCCUAAUUGGUUGCAGGCUAGUUUAUUACAUUUGCUUUUCAAGGCAAAUUUAUUACUUUUCAAGGCAAAUUUGGAGCGUGUGGUUUGCAGCUGCUGAAUUGUGUUCAGAGUUCUGCAAGAUAUCACUUUGGAUUCCUACUUGUAUCAGUUAUGUGUUUAAAUCCAAAAGAAGGAGAAAAAGUGGAGAAGAGUGAAAAACAAAACCACAGUGGAAAAAGAACAUGUCAUGGACAUCUUUUGACAUCAAGCAUGAUCAUCCCAUGCUGCCAAGGCAUUUAUCUAAGCCUUACAGACUGGCAGAUAGAGUGGUUACACAAAGGGUGUAGGGCUGUUUUCAUCUUUUCAGAAAAAAAAAAGUGAAGAUUCAGUUCAAUAAAAAGUAUGGAAUAUUACCAGCUGAGUCUUGUGUUUCUCUAAAUGGUCUCAUAAUACAAAAUGAGCAAUAAGGAACACACAGUGUAAACUUUAAAUUGAACAAUUCUGGAAAGUUAAAAUAUGUUUCCAAUGUUGAAGUUCCUUUUCUCAGCCAUCAGAGGGAUCUGUCUGAGCUCUUUUAGUGGAAACCUCUCUUUCUUAAGCAAAUUAAUUUCAUUGUAGCCAUCAAGAUAAAGAUACGCAUGCUCUGUUUAGCUGUGGUACACUUGCUGGCCAACAAAUACUCAUUUCUGCCAAAAUGUGUAAAAUGUGUUUGCCAAAAUUAAGCAAAAAACAAAAUGAAUUAUGAACAAACAAGUGAGAACACCCACACAACAAAAUGCUGUAAGUUGACUGCAUCACCGGAGAGCAGACGUUUCAUAUUACAGAAUAUCACAGUGUGCGGCUUUUCAUUUCAUAUCAGAUAGAGUACCAGUUGUUUUGAACACUCCAAGUUAUGUUCUAGAUCCUAAGCAUGUAUGUAUAGCCCCGAAAGGGACUAAAAUUGCUGUUGUUCUAGUCCCUUCGUUAUUGCUGAGAAACUGGUUUUACUGAUGGUCAGUGCAUUGCUUGACCCAUUCCACACUUAGUCAAGUCUUGAGGGACCAAAAAUUCUACAGCAAACUGAAAAAAAUUCAUAGAUGGUCCUUGCUAAGGUGUGGAAAAGGUUCAUCAGAUGACCAGUAGGGUUGCAGAGUGGGAGCCCAUUGCUUUGGGAAUAUUUUCAUGGAAAGUCCAUUGCUCUUGCACUGUUACUUUAUUUUGUUCUUGAGCCAUAAAGCCAAGCUGAUUUCUCUGAAUGUGCUACCUCUGAAAUUACCAUUUAUACUGAAAACUCCAUGUCAUCAUCUUUACAUUU